GACGAACGCUGGCGGCGUGCUUAACACAUGCAAGUCGAACGCUGAAGCCCAGCUUUUGUUGGGUGGAUGAGUGGCGAACGGGUGAGUAACACGUGAGUAACCUGCCCCCUUCUUUGGGAUAACGCCCGGAAACGGGUGCUAAUACCGGAUAUUCACUGCUCUUCGCAUGGGGGUUGGUGGAAAGGGCUUUUCUUGUGGGGGAUGGGGUCGCGGCCGAUCAGCUUGUUGGUGGGGUGAUGGCCCAGCAAGGCUUUGACUGGGAGGCGGCCUGAGAGGGGGACCGGGAGGAUUGGGAGUGAGAUAGGGACCAGACUACGACGGGGGGCAGUAGGGGGGACAAUUGCGGAAUGUGCGGAAGACUGAUGCGGCGCCGGAGGGUGAGGGAUGGAGGGCGUGGUGUUGUGCUCCGCGUUCGAUAAUGGUCAAGCCGCAACAGUGGUUGUGGUGACGGUAGUGGGUAAAGAAGCGCCGGCUAACUACGUG
rnacentral:rRNA from 1 species